UGCUCCUUGUUCUGUCACCUGGGAACAGCCCAGCUCCAUCCUCUUUGCAACCACCCUGCAGGGAGCUGAAGGCUGCUAUUCAAUCCCCCUCGGUCUCCUCUUCUCCAGUUGUUUCAUCCCUUAGCAUCAUUCUCCUCCUUUGCUGUCUGGAGGCUUGGAAACCAGUUGUGCAGUUCUUCAUCCCACCAAUGGAGAAGACUAGGGAAAAAUUAAAAUACUUGCAGGGCUUGGAUGUCACUGAGGAGGGAACAAGACAUGUCUAAUAUGAUGGGUUGGGGAAAGGGGCAGUUGCGCAUGCUCAAGGAAUGCUCCUAAGCACAAGGAGGGAAAGGGAGUAUUUGGGAUUAAUUACUGCGUGUAUGCGAUGGCAUCUGAGGAAAGGGUCAAUGUGCCUGCCUCCUGGGAGCAUUAAUUAGAUUGUGGCAUAGCGUCCCAAGGGAAGCAGCUGAAGCCAAAGUGUUUGAAUCGCUUGAAACAGGACCGGACGUAGUCAGGCAGCGAAGGGGACGGUCUGCUGCAGGCGGGGGCAGGAGCGGCUGAAGUGUGACCGAGCAAGUCUCUUCAGCGCUCCUUUCUUUGGUUCUCGUGAAUAAUGGAUGCUUGCAGGAAAUUAUGUGGCGAAGCUCUUGUGAUCCGAUGCCCAAUUUACAGCCGACUUCUCAGUCCUCUGGGGCUGGCGCUUCAGAUCUCGGCACGGAGCGGUCUGCGUGCUGCAGGCAAGCCCCGCGCCAGGUUCGGUCGGCAGGGAUGCCCCAGGUUUGCCGCAGAUGAAAUGAUUGCACAUCUAGCUCUGCGCCUCCUUCCCCGCACCAGGCCAGGUGGGAGAAACGCGCCCAGGCGUUUUGAUUCUCCGGUCGGCUUUGUUUCAGGUGUUUCGACAUCAAAGCAGAAGACGUCAUUUCUGGACUCUCUGUGUCUGGUGCUGCUGUUUAAAUAAUUCUAUUUAAUCUUCUGCACUUGAGCGUUAUCCAGAGCCAUCAAAGCACCCACUCCAAGGGGUAGCUAGGUGCUAAUCAAAUGCUUCUCCACCUUGAAAGCCUUUUUUAAAACCCCCUAUGCCCAAGUCCUAACUCCUAGCCAAGCUUGCCUCUGCCUGGACCUUGCUGCCUUUGCACCACGGUGCUGCAUCCCUCCAAGAAGCAGGCUGAUGUGGAGCUCAGAUGGCCCGCUCCUUCCCACAGGAGAGGUAGGGAAGGGGGUUGCCAGGUGCAUAAAGCCAGGAGAGCUAAAACCAGAACCUCUGAGGCCACCCUAGGUCCAGCUCAGCGGGGAACGGACUGUAGCUUAAUUCAUGACAAGCAAGCGUUAUGAAAAACACCCCAGGGCCAGGGUGUGAAGGAGCAGAGCCGUGGAAAGGGGGACCGAAAUGAGUCAUGAACCUGAAUCUGCGUAUGCGGGUGGCCAGCCUUUCCCCGUGAAAUCCCAGUGCUGCGUGAUAAAACCCUUCGCCUCACAGGUGUUCAAUGCCUUUCCCCUGUGACAAUCCCAACAGCCAGGCCACCCAUGUCCUCUUAAGAGGACAUAUGCCACUGCUGGCAAGGGUUUUACAUGGAAUUUACCAAAAAAAAAGGAGCCUCUCCCUAUUCCAUACGCCUCACAGGUUGUCUGCAAUGUCCAGGCUGAGUAGGGGAGCCCUGCAGCAGGACUCGGCGGUUCGGUGAUUGUGCUCUGGGCUCUACGUGUAAAUGCAUAACGUGUGCAAGUGCCCUAUACGAGCACGAGUCCAGGCGUUCAGCUGUGGCUGCUGGCUUGGGUGCCUCUUGCUUGGUGCCCGGUGUGGAUGUGCAUGCAGGGUCUUGCUAACCACUCGCUGGUGCAAGGGAGUUGGAGGGAAGCUGGUUUGUGUGUUGCCCUUGAGAGCGUAACUCCACCUGGGCCAGAGCAGGGGCUGGAGAAUUAUUCUGGAAACAUUUUUUUAAGCCUGUGCCUGUACUGUUUCCCGCUGGCAGCUGCAGGGCAGUGUUUUUGGCUGUCACCGGCAGCUCUGUUUCAUUUUCCAGUGCUGUCAGCAUUCACCUGUCACGAGGACUUAGUUCACCAAACUGAAUGAAAGAAAAAUAGAUGGACUCAAACAAGCUGGGCCAUCAGGGGGAAACCUCAGCAGUGACUGUGCUGCGCAGGGAAGACAAAAGGGUUCAGAAAAGGAGGACAAGCAGCCAGCAUCCACGAUGUGUUUGAGGGCAGCACAGCUUCAGUCAUCCUAUUUCAGUAGUCCAUGUGUACCAGAAACCCCUACGGAGCCCUUGGCACUCACAAGGCUGGACAAGAAGGUAAAACACUGCCCUCUAGCUCGCAAGCACCCGCACGACGACUUUGGUCGCUAAUUAGGGAGUAGGAGCGAGAUGUUUCUGAACGACGCUGUGGCAGUCAGCGCAUCCGAUGGAGCCGAACCCCACAAGGUAACUUUGCGUGGGUGCUCUUCCAAAGCAGAAGAAAAGGAAAAGCACAUAAGACCUUGCAAGUAAGCGCAGGCACUGCAGCAUGCGUCUGAAGCCUGUCUGCUGUAACUCCCCGCGG